rnacentral:ncRNA from 1 species
UUCGAGUAAUGGGGGAAGUAGUUGAUGAAGACGAAGCCCCGCGUCUGGUCGAUGACGUGGAACAGCGGGUUCCAGUCGAACCAGUCGAUCAUGUAGCCCGGCAUCUGGUUGGCGACGAACAUCUUGCCCGAGGCGAUCAUGCUCACGCGGCUG